GUGUCAGCCGCCGCGGUAAUACGUAGGGUGCAAGCGUUGUCCGGAUUUACUGGGUUUAAAGGGUGCGUAGGCGGGUAGGUAAGUCAGUGGUGAAAUCCUGGAGCUCAACUCCAGAACUGCCAUUGAUACUAUCUAUCUUGAAUAUUGUGGAGGUAAGCGGAAUAUGUCAUGUUGCGGUAAAAUGCUUAGAUAUGACAUAGAACACCCAUUGCGAAGGCAGCUUACUACGCAUAUAUUGACGCUGAGGCACGAAAGCGUGGGGAUCAAACAGGAUUAGAAACCCUCGUAGUCC
rnacentral:rRNA from 1 species